rnacentral:rRNA from 1 species
UACGUAGGUGGCAAGCGUUGUCCGGAUUUAUUGGGUUUAAAGGGUGCGUAGGUGGUCUAUUAAGUCAGUGCUGAAAUAUCCCGGCUUAACCGGGAGGGUGGCAUUGAUACUGAUGGACUUGAGUAGAGUUGAGGUAGGCGGAGUUGACGGUGUAGCGGUGAAAUGCUUAGAUAUCGUCAAGAACACCUAUUGCGAAGGCAGCUUACUAAGCUCUAACUGACACUGAGGCACGAAAGUGUGGGGAUCAAACAGG